CGCCGUAAGCCCAAGUAGCCCAGCUCGAUGGUCGAAGCUGAGCCGUCUUAUCUACUGCGUGGGCUUGGCAAGGGAGAGAAUACAGUAGUUAGACCGAGAAGUGGGUGAUGCUCGCGAGCAUGGCGGCGGCGGCGACGGCGGCUACGGCCCCUUCCGGCGGAGUCUGCAGGCGAGUGCCGCCGGGGGAAAGAUGCCUCGCUGACCCAGUCUGCGCAAUCCACUGGGAAGAUGAAUCCCGAAGCCCCUGAUGGACGAAUAGGUUGUGCUUCAGUAGUGCACCACCAGACCAGACGCCGUGUGCCUCGCGGAUGAGUGCGGUUGAACAAUCUAUCCACAAAUUUCCAGAAGAACCUAUGAAAAGAGUGGUGAAACCUGAUAUUGGGUUGAGUUUUUACUCGUUAGGUGACGCUUAUGGCUUACAAUUUGUAUUCUUUGGUGUGUUGUCUGAUCUCUGCUGGACGCUUAUCCAUCCAUGUAUUAAGUGUUUAUUGUUUUAAACAUUUGUAAUGAUCCCAGGUUGGGAUAUACGUAUUAUAUAUCUAGUUAUUAGUGACCUGAAUAAAAACAGAGACUUAAGCUUUCA